rnacentral:rRNA from 1 species
CCUACGGGUGGCAGCAGUGGGGAAUAUUGCACAAUGGGGGAAACCCUGAUGCAGCAACGCCGCGUGAGUGAAGAAGUAUUUCGGUAUGUAAAGCUCUAUCAGCAGGGAAGAAGAUGACGGUACCUGAGUCAGAAGCCCCGGCUAACUACGUGCCAGCAGCCGCGGUAAUACGUAGGGGGCAAGCGUUAUCCGGAUUUACUGGGUGUAAAGGUAGCGUAGACGGUUAAGUAAGUCUGGAGUGAAAGACCGGGGCCCAACCCCGGGACUGCUCUGGAAACUAUUGAACUUGAGUGCAGGAGAGGUAAGCGGAAUUCCGAGUGUAGCGGUGAAAUGCGUAGAUAUUAGGAGGAACACCAGUGGCGAAGGCGGCUUACUGGACUGUAACUGACGUUGAGGCUCGAAAGCGUGGGGAGCAAACAGGAUUAGAUACCCUAGUAGUC